rnacentral:lncRNA from 1 species
CUGUUUCCAUUUGGGGGUGAUUUUGAAUAGCUGCAGCUGCUUUCAACAACGAUCCCUGUGGGCUGAGGCUGCAGCAUGUGGAGCUGGGGUCAUCCUUGCCUGGCCGUGGAAAGCGAGAAGAGAAACACCCGCGAUCCUGUGGACCAGGGGAGCCCAAAGAGAAUGGCAGUGACCAGGGAGGACAGAGAGGCCAGCCUGGACCAGGAGAUGCUGGGGGAGCUGGCAGGAAGACCAGGCUCCCCAGCCCCAAUGCAGCCACGCCAGGGAUAAGUGGAGCCCUCCUGGAUGAGCAGGGAAGAGGCAAUCUUCUCAUAACCACCCAGGUGGAGACACCGGCUCCGCUGUCCCCAGGAGGCUCGGGGGCACUGUCCCGGCGUGAACAGUACCAGAUUGAGGGAGGAGAGCAAGCCGAUGGCCAAGCCCAGAGCCGUGGGCUGUCGAAUGACAAGGGACUCAGUUUCAUCUAUAAAAUGGGACCAAUACAGGUGCCUACUUCACAGGACUAUCAUGAGGGGUGAGUUAGUGCAGGUGAAGGCCUGAACGUUGCUUCUGGCACAAGCAACACCCAGCAGAUAACCGCCACGGUGAGAAGAGGCUCCGAUGUGCACACUCCUGCCGGCCCUGCGGUUCUUGUCAGCUCAAGCUCCCCGUAUGCCUUGUAAAAAGCAGUAAUUAAGCUCUCUUGAAAAUUAAGCCAACGUGUCUUCCCUUUCCUCUCCAGUCCAUUUCCAGUGCUUGCAGAUUUUUUUUUAAAGAUUUUAUUUAUUCAUGAGAGACACAGAGAGGCAGAGACACAGGCAGAGGGAGAAGCAGGCUCCAUGCAGGGAACCCGAUGCGGGACUCUAUCCCAGGGUCCUGGGGUCACGCUCUGGGCCAAAGGCAGACGCUCAACCACUGAGCCACCCAGGCAUGCCCAGUGCUUGCAGAUUUUUAAAAUCCUCUCCCUCUGCUCACUUCUGUCCCCAAAAUGCCACAUAUCCUGGGGUG